AUUGCAUGAGUAGAUAAGACAAGACAAGAAUGAUGGUGACUUUUCAUUUAUGAGCCCACCACAAGGUAGAAUUUACCUGUCUGACUUAUUACUUAUACUGUAUAUAGCUAAUGAGACUAACGUUCCUCAGUAUCACAGGGAAAUCGAAGCAUUUCAAGAUUACAGAACUUAUGAUUGCUGAAAUCAGUUGAGACUGCUCAGUACUUAGGGUAGCGAUCUCAAAUCCUAAAGUUGAGGUAAUAUAUUUAAAUACACCCUGCAGAAUCUGCAAAAUGUUAAUAAUAAUAAAAAAGAAGGAUCAUAAAAAUUGCAUGUUGUUUUUUAUUUAGCACUGCCCUGAAUAAGCUAUUUCACAUAACAGAUGUUUGCAUAUAGUCCACAAGACACAAUAAUGUCAUAUAGCAAGGAAACGCUGGACUUCAGUUCCCAUCAGCCACUGCACUGCACUACAUGUCACAUGACCACCUGCACCUGAUUCACGUUUGUUAAUGAGCACACUUGUGUAUAUAUAGCCAUUGUCUGCAUUUUUUCUCUGUCUUUCGUUUGUCUUAGACGUCCGUAUUCCAUGUUACCAUGUUUCGUUUUGCCACAGUAUUAUGCCAAGUUGUCUUAGUGUCUUUGCGUUGUUGUUUGUUUAAUAAACUAUUUAUAACUGAAUUUACACAAAUGAACCAGUUCAAAAGUUUAAUACAUACAGUACAUGUGCUUGAUUCUUAAUGCUGUGUGUUGUAGAGCUGCAACAACUAAUCAAUAAUAAUCGGUUAUGAAAAUCAUUGUCAACGAAUUUCAUUAUCGAUUACGCGGUCUGAGAAUGGCAUGGGGCACAUUUACUCAUUGCAUUACUCAUUGUGUUCCGAAAAAACUUGUGUCCCAAAUGACCUACUAUGCACUUACACUAUGCAUUCUACCAUCUUGGGGGCCGCCAGGGGGCCUCAACAAUUUGCUCGGAGCCGCCAAGCCCAUCCCUCCCACUAGUGUGUUUUCUCUUUCUCACUCUCAGACUCUCUUUAGCAGAAUACCGGAAAGAAAAAAUCUUCAGUUUACUGUUUAUGUAAACUUUACCUUUCAUGUUCAACAUGACUUCAUUAUGUCAUGUUGUCAGCAUCAGAUGGAGGCGUAAUCGUCAAGUGACAGCGGCAGAAAUGUGCGUGACCCAAGUCCUCUAAGGCAGGGGAGCUUUUUAUAUUAAAUGCCACGAAGGAGACUGUAACCUGCAACAUCCAUCCAUCCAUCCAUCCGUCCAUUUUCUAUACCACUUAUCCUACAGGGUCACGGGGAACCUGGAGCCUAUCCCAGGGAGCAUCGGGCACAAGGCGGGGUACACCCUGGACAGGGUGCCAAUCCAUCACAGGGCACAACCUGCAACAUAGACAUAUAUAUAGGUCCUGCAUAUUUGGUUUUCAAGCAUAUUUGACCCUUUUCCAAUAGCGGUUACAUGAUGUUGAGAUCCAUCUUUUCAUACUGUGCACAACUGAGGGACUCGUACACAACUAUUACAAAAGGUGAAACAUUCACUGAUGCUCAAGAAGGCAACACACAACAUUAAGAGCUAAGGGGAUGUAAACAUUUGAACAGGAUGAUCUGUAUAACAAAUUUUGUUUAAAGAUCUUUUUUUUUUCUUUUUCAUUUUUGUAAUAGUUGUGUGUGAGGCCUUCAGUUGUGCUCAGUGUGAAAAGACGGAUCUCAACAUCAUAUAGCCACUGUUGGAAAGGGCUCAAAUAUGCAGAAGAUGCUGGAAAAGUAAAGAACGUGCAGGACCUGGAGGAUUUUUCUUACGAACAGUGGGCAGUUUAACUGCUCAGGACAAAUAAAGGAUGCGUUAACAACUAUCACAAAAACUAAAAACAGUCGUUGGUCAUCCAUGUAACAAUGCACAGUGUUAAGAAUCAAGCAUAUGUAAACUUUUGAACUGAUAAAUUUGUGUAAAUUCAGUUAUUAUUGUGUCUUGUGGACUACAUGAAACAUCUGUUAUGUGAAAUAACUUAUUCAGCACAGUACUAAAAAAACAAAAUGCAAUUUCUUAUGAUCCUUUUUUUAUUUUAUUUAUUAACAUUUUGCAGAUUCUUCAAUGCGUAUGUGAACUUAUGAACUGUACAUAUUGAACCUGAAAUGGAUUAAUAGAAAAAGGGCAUGCAUUUAGCCAUUAGCUUGAAAAUUCUUUCACUUGUUCACCUGUACACUCUGCUCAAACAUAUCAGUUUCCAAAGCUGAGCUAGUUAGAAAUCUCAUUGUCAUAUAGCGGCAAUGCAUUCUGGAACUUUGAGUCCAUCAUUUUCUGUCUCCACUUCUCGUACAUUGGAAUACUCAUUAAUAUGACAUGGAGCAUUGCUUGGAAAUAGUGAUUGAGAAAAUAAGCUCUUGUUUUAAGAGUUAGCAACAAACCCUGAUCGUUAUCACUUAUGUUUGAGAUUGUUGAAAAUGUUUCUUUAUGCCACUGUAACUGUGCUAGAACUGUGCAUUGAGGCCCCCAUGACAUCAGCAGAACACACAAAUACUAACCUCUCACAGGAAUAACAAAAAUAAAGCGUCAACCAACAAAUUAACAGCAAAACUGCGAAUCACAUCACAAAUAUUUCUAUAUAUUUAUAUAUCUAUAUAUACAAAUAUAUAUUUCUAAACAUAUUUAAUGUUUUUCAGGGUGGAGUUUUCCUUACAGUGUUCUUUCAUGUCACAGAAUUAGUUUUGAUUGUCACAGGAUGCAGAUUACAUGGGAAAAUAUUUCACCAGACUCACACUUACUGCCAUGGGUUUGCAACAUGUUUUGGCUAUUCUUGCUUCUUAUUUUUUCUAAUUUUUUUCACAUAGAAAGAAACCUCUUAUAUUUGUUUUCUUGGUUUAUGUGCUUAGGUAUUUUUUUGGACCCUAGCAGGAACAACCUCAUAUUAAGUGUAAGGGUGUUUACUUUUUACUCUUCUGUUUACUUUGCUUAGAUUGUCAUUUAUUAAAUGUAUUACUGAUUAAUUUUGAGGAGUAGAUGAGAGGAUUUGAGAAUGAUAUGGCAAGAUAUCUAUCACACACACACAUAUUAUUUAAUCUCAAAAUGACUUUAUAGUGCAGUCAUGUUUCCUCUGAGACAUGUCAGAAAUAUUCUGCACGGUCACAAGUCAACUUCUAGAAAUUAUAUUCCUGCCUUUGUUUUUUUUUUUGUUUUGUUUUGUUUUUUUGUAUGCAAGUAUAAGCCUGACACAACUGUUUACGUGCAUGAUCUGGAUAUUCAAUAUUUGCAGUUUGUGUCAAAAUGGAAGCACCAGCUAAAUGGAAAUGAACUGAAAUAUUAAAGGGAUGUGGGAGAGCCAAUCAGUGCUGGAUCUUGUGUAAUGAAUGAGCUCUAUAUUUAUUAUUCAUAUUAUUAUUAUUAUUCAGCAGCUCAGGUAUAGACUAACCAUUUCUAGAGAGGAGCCUAACAUUCCAAUGUGACUCGUGGGUGCUGUUUCAAGACUUAUAACCAGAGUGAGCGCUAUGCUUUUCUCCUUUGCCAGAGCUGACACUGCAGUUUGAUGUAUAGGGAAGCCUCAAAAAACAAGAGUUUCAAGUAAACGGCAUUUUCUCUUGCAUUUAGCUGAGAUAAUGUGUAACAAAGGCAAAGAGAACACACUUGUUGAAUACUGGAGUGUCCAAAGUGUUGAACUCCAGUAUUCAGUUUACACUUUCUAUAUUUAAACACUCCAUGGAGCCUUUCUGAGUGGCUGUUGUGCUUUCAUGCAUCUAGCCCUUCCUGCUUGCAGGAAAGAGUUAAAGAGUACUGAGACAACAAUACCAAAGUUUGGUAAUGCACAUAAACAGGGAAAUGUUUAAAGGGGUUUAUUUGUAGUCUGUUUUUAUUUAACAUGACAUAGGAUAUUUAUUUUUCUAAUCAUGAAAUUAAAUGUGUUUAAAGUUUGUUGUAUAAUUAGUAUUUCUAUGAAUCGGUCAAUCCAAUUAGGAAAUAAAAUGAAAAAUAAUAUUUUGGAUAUAAUGGAUGUCUAAAAAAAUUUAUUUAUACAACUGAUUGUAUUAAUACACAUUGAAUUGUUGUAUUAAUUGUUAUUAUUUAUCAUUAUGAGUCUGCC
ensembl:lncRNA